rnacentral:lncRNA from 10 species
CUACGCUUUUACCUUGGCCGAUCCCUCCCCUCAGUGCAAGCUCUGUGCAAGAGUGAACUUGAACUUCACUCAGUGCAAGAGUGAACACACACUUUGUGCCGGCUUUAAAGAACCCAGCACAAAGCCAGUCUGCAUGGCCUAGAGACAUAUUUUGCUGGACAAUGAUUACUUGUUUUUCUUUUUGUUUUUCUUGUAUUUGCCUGUUUGAUUGGUUCCUGACAUACCAGAAAAUCACUGUCAAAACAUUAGCUUAACAUUUGUUAAGGAAACAAAAAGACUUCGGUGACCACACCUUAUAAACCAAACAGUUUUGUAAAUCACUUUAGAAAAUUUCACUAAAAAAAAAAAAUCCUUAACAAUAUAAUAAGUAAAGAAAAUUUAAAACCACAAAACAUUACUGUGUUUGUGGGGGGGGGGGUCUGAUU